rnacentral:rRNA from 1 species
GACGAACGCUGGCGGCGUGCUUAACACAUGCAAGUCGAACGGAAAGGCCUCUUUCGGGGGGUACUCGAGUGGCGAACGGGUGGGUAACACGUGAGUAACCUGCCCUUGACUUUGGGAUAACUUCAGGAAACUGGGGCUAAUACCGGAUAGGAGCUCCUGCUGCAUGGUGGGGGUUGGAAAGUUUCGGCGGUUGGGGAUGGACUCGCGGCUUAUCAGCUUGUUGGUGGGGUAGUGGCUUACCAAGGCUUUGACGGGUAGCCGGCCUGAGAGGGUGACCGGCCACAUUGGGACUGAGAUACGGCCCAGACUCCGACGGGAGGCAGCAGUGGGGAAUAUUGCACAAUGGGUGGAAGCCUGAUGCAGCAACGCCGUGUGCGGGAUGACGGCCUUCGGGUUGUAAACCGCUUUCGCUCAUGACGAAGCUUUGUGUGACGGUAGUGGGUAAAGAAGCACCGGCUAACUACGUG